CCUGCCCCCUACAGUUAUUACAGAUGUGACUGCUGUGUCACAUAUGCACCAGUAGGUGGCAGAGAGGAGACAGGCUGUGUUUACAUUCAGUGCUCUGCCCUAGGAACAUCAGAAUGCUCAGUAGGCUAACAUU